ACAAAAUUAUGUAUUUUUAUUUAAUUUAUAAACAUUCAUUUUCCAUUAAACAUGUUAUAGGCUUAACACAUUCUAUGUUUGAACAGUUCACAUCAUUGCAGUAUAACAUAUAUAACAAUAUAACACAUAUAAGGUAACAUAUGUCAACAUGUAGGUAUAAAAUGCACUAUUUUAGCUGAAAAUAUAUACUAAGGUUUGUGUCUCUGCACACUUCUUUUCAACAAUAUAGCUUCAUUUUCUUUUUUGUAUGAUCUUGGGUACAGACUAUUGGGAAGAUCAUCCCUGAAACAUGCCAGGUGAUAAAUGCUGCUCUUAAAAAUCAAUAUUUGAAGGAUGAAAAAAGGUCAAAUCCAGUGCAAGUCUUGUGGCCUGGAACAGCUGACUUGUACAAGGGGUGCAGACACUGCUGCCUUAGCAACGGUCAAACAGUCAUAGAAUUUGUUUAUUUUAUUAUCAUUUCUCUGUUCAACAUCAACAUCUUUCACUUCAUUUUAUGAUAUUCUGUCUUUACUAUGCUUUUGACCAAACCACUUAUUUCAGCAAUACAUUUUCAACAACAGCAACAAAAAAUGGCCCAUGAUGAUUGUGUUCAGAAGACUGCUACUCAACCUGUAAACUGCUGCUGAAUGGAAGUCACCCUUGUUAUAUGGGAAUACAUUUGGAUAUACCAGUGUUUCAAAUACCAGCACUUCUAAUGAAUUGCUCUGUUCAUAAAGGCUGCAUGCAUGCACUGCAUAUGUGACAGCACAGCAGAACGGCACACCAUGUGGGGUGUUGGCCAAUACCAGCCACUUAACAAGUGCCUGAGCAGGCUGCUCUGGAUCUCAUGCAUAAUACAGAACCAACAACUUUAUGUGAAAUAAGAUUACCACACUCAUAGGACACCAGGAACCUCUACUUUCAGCAGUCAAGUGAUAUAAGCUGGUCUUCUUUGGUCAUAUGACCUGGCAUGGCACCUUGAAGGGUAGUCGAUGCUGUGGUGGCCUGAGAAAGAACUGUCUUACAAAUGUCAAAGACUGGACUGGCUGUCCUGUGCAGGACCUGCUCACUAUCGUCCACAAUAGGCAAGAGUGGCAGGUCCUGUCAACUGCCAUGUCUGUCCUUGGUGCUUCCCCAAUGACAGGUGCUGGUCAAGGGAUUGACUUGACUGAUCAACUGCUUCCAAACCAAGCAGUUGCCUCCCCUGCCCUAUAAUUUUCACCACAUCUCAAGUAAUUCAGUUCAUCUUGUCAUGAAUUUCGUCCUUCAGUUUAUGUUUGGUGAGAGUCAAAUAUCUCCUUUGAAUAAAGACAGCUGUAUCAGCCCUUUUGACUGUCAACCAUUCCAUCCAGAUUAUCUCCCUUUCACCAAUGAUGCCACAUCAGCCACUCCCUGUUCUGUCUGUCCUCGUAUGUUCUCCAGUUUAGUGGACAUGUCAGGGGCCUGGAUCAUGUGUGGAGUCAAAGCUUGUUCAGGAGAAGACAUGUCUGAAGUACCUGUACAGUUCUGUAAUACACAUUUUCUCAUAUUCCA